rnacentral:rRNA from 1 species
UACAGAGGUCCCAAGCGUUGUUCGGAUUCACUGGGCGUAAAGGGUGCGUAGGUGGCUUGGUAAGUUUGAUGUGAAAUCUCCGGGCUUAACCCGGAAAUGGCAUUGAAUACUAUUGAGCUGGAGGUUUGGAGGGGGGACUGGAAUUCUCGGUGUAGCAGUGAAAUGCGUAGAUAUCGGGAGGAACACCAGAGGCGCAAGCGGCUGCCUGGGCAUGACCUGACACUGAGACACGACGGCGUGGGGAGCAAACGGG